GGAAUAAAAGUCUAGCAUCAAAUGUAUAGCUAACUAUUUUAAUUUGUGAUCAGAGCAACUGAUCUCCGUUCAUUUUUUAUCAUCAAAAGUUAGUUCUACUUUCGCAGUACCUCUGCUCUACAUACCUCCUCUCAUUUAUCAAGUUGGUGUAAAAAUUUAGCUUGAUAAAUUAAGAAGUUGUAAACUUUAUUAUCACAAUUGCCAAGUUGACCAAAUGUUCUUCUGGUUUUAAAUGAAUUAUGUAUGAGUCUAGUAUCAUCUGGGUGUUCAAAGAUAGUUUACUGCUUGAAGAACUUAUCAAUGGACCAACUAAUUAUAAAACAGUUUUUAAUGAAAAUAAAAACGAAUUAUCAAAAGA